CCCGAUUGGGUGAGAACCCUAGCCCAUUCUCCCCGCCGCGCCCCUCUCCCCUUCUCUACUGCAGCCGCCGCCGCCAGCGCGGGCCGCGGACACGACGAGGCGGCGGCCGGCCAAGGUCUUCUCCCGCGUGCGCCACCUCCUCUCCAAGCCAUUCCCCUGCACGCGGCCCUCGCCGACUCGCUCUUCCUCCCCUACGACCUUGUCCAGGACGCCCGCGGCGCCGCCGCCGUCUGCGCUGACGGCGGCUAGGUCGGGGAUGUUAGUGAUGCGUCCGAGCAGCGCGGCAGCAUCAUGGGUGGUGUGCGAAUGGGCACGGAGCACGACGCCGCCGUCCCCAACGACGCCCCGUCCCGGCGCUCCUCGACUCCCACUUGGAUGGCGACAAGUUCGAGCUGCGUCCGUCGACCCCGACGUCGCGCUCGCCUACAAGUUCCCCGAGGUCUCCUUCGCCACGAAGAGAGGUGCGAGCCAUAGCUCGACGGAACGGCUCUCCCGGUUGAUCCCAUCUGUCACGCCGUCUCCUUACUCCGUGCAGGAACGUGGCGCUGUACGCGCUCGGCAUGGGGGCCUGCGGCGUUGAUGGCUAGGAGCUCUGCCUCGUGCACCACAGCCAGCGCCACAUCAAGAUUGCCACCAUAUUUGUGAGCCUUUUGGUAUGUCACUCAUAGAAUAAAUAUAAUGGACUUGAGUGGUGGAUUGAGUAACUUCCGAAAUGGACCUCAUUAUCUUGGUUUCUCCUUUCACGACAUGAUGCUGUUGGAUGUGGCAUGACUUUGUGUAAGGCACUGAUGGUCUCUGAGGAGCAUCUAAAUGUACUCUAUGCUUGCUUCUUCAUCCAACCAGGGAUUGGGGCACGGGUGAGUGAUAUGAUCCAACCAGAGAUUGGGGCAGUGGCGGAGGCUAUUCUUGCUAGGCCGAUGAUGAUUAACCGUGGCUGAAAUAAGUGUGCCUUUGAGCAAUCGAGGCACCUGUGGGUAUCAAGUUGGAUCCUCCCUCUCGUCCCUAAAAUCAUUUUUUAUCCUGUGAUACUUAUGGUUCUGUCCUAGGAUGGUCAUUCUUGUUGAGUAAUAACCAGGGCAGCUCCACUGUAUAAACAGAUUGAUCUGGUGGUAAGAGAUGACGGUGGUAGGUUAUAUGAUCGAGGAAAGGCGAAUCUGAGCCCAUUAUGCAAUGAACCCUAAACCCUUUUUAUUUGUAUUUGAAGGUGUUGCUUAUUUAUGAUCCAGUGUUUAUAGCCGUUUUAAGUAAAGUUUUCUUCUCUCUCAUACCUUUAUUGCAUAUAAGUUGUUCUUGGUCCUUUAUUGUUUGUUGUUGGUCUUUGAUUUAAUCUGGUUAAGAGUAAGUUGCACUUUGUUAUACUAGAAAGGCUCACUCCCAGCAAGUUAUCGGUUGAAUGACUUGUUUUAAUUCGUUGUGAUACUAUUACUUCUAUUUUUUUGCAAGUUACCAGUUUCAUCUAUUUGUUCAUGCUACAGAAAAUAGUGCUACAGGAUUUUUUUUAGAUUUUUCUUGAGAUAAUGCUAGAUUGUUCAUGUAAAGAGUGACCGAGGUAGCAUGUCCCAUUUUGCAUCCAUAAACAAUUUUUCGGCUGCUGUGACCAAGUUGUUGGGUUAAUCCGAGCCAUUGAGCGGACAUUUCCUUUCAUUUUCUUUAGUUUGUUCUGAAACUUUCCCCAAUUCUGUACAUCACCACUGCGUUUUUUUGGAUACUGCAGUUUGAACAAACUUCCAACUAUAGAGUUUAAAAUAUGUUACCUACAUAAAAAGGAGUUAAAUAAGGAUGACCUUACACAGCUUAUCCUUAUUUUAGCAAUGAGAGUAUUUUGUAUAUAGAGUUGAUACUCUGAAACUUCUGUUUUUAUUGCUGUAUUAUAUUAUGAAGGUUCAAGUAUUUGGGUUCUAGCUCCUACUUGGAUAUGGUAGAUGCUUAUUCAUUUUCCUAUUAGUCUAGCAGGAUUACAUCAUUGAUGUUACUUCCCAACCAAUAUUAAGCUGGCAGUUGUUUAUUUUCUCUUUUGCCUAACACAUCAAAAUCUAGAGCAACACUUUUUGUUGAUUGAUAUUUCUGACAGAUACUGAUUACUUCUCUUUAUUUUAUUGUAUUGUUAGCCAAUUAAAAAGGUUUUGUUGUAGGUGUAUUUUUUUGUAUGGUAUAUAUUAUGCGAGUUAUUUCUAAUGCAUCUUGAUAUUAUCUUAGAAUCAUCUGACUAGAGUCUCGAUCCUUCGAGCUUAGUUAACUAAAGCAUCUUUUAUAUCAGAUAUCAAAUUAUCUACACUUGUACUAAGAUAUAAUGUAUCUAACCAGAUUUUCACUUCUUUAAUGGAGUUUUUAGCACUCGGAUUUAUUUGAAAUAGCUGCUCCUAUAUUUUUGUCAGUGCUUGUUGUACUUUGUUUAAAUGUUUCUUCUUGGUAGGAUCAAUUCUAAAUAGUGGAUGUAAGCAUGCCUUUUUAAGCUUAAGCAUUUGGUUUUUGGCGAUAUGGUGUUCUCUCCUUACAGAUGACCUUCUGCUUUCUUAUUUUAAAAAAUAGACAAGUUGGAUGCAGUUGUCGCCACUCAUGUCGCUGCAGGAGGAGUGCACACAGGGGAGAGUGGCGGGUCAAGGUGCGCUCAUCGGCGCCGCUACUGACCGGCAGAUCCAGGCGCAUCCUCUUGGUGCACGCAGGAGGGCGAUCUACGACGACCUCCUGGGCACGACACCGCUGGAGACGAUGAGAAACACACACUGUCCACCAUUGGUCACCGGCAGUAGCAGGAUGAACCGUCGUCGUAGCUGCCAGGCUGAACCAUAAGACGCCUCAACAGCGACCGGCGAAGUCGUCGAGGCGAGGCGACGGCCUGGAGGUGAACUGCAGCGACAGCGUGAACUUGGCCGGCGACCGCAAGGACCCAUUCACGGGGUGCCUAAUUGCUGAUAUCUGGCCUCCCCUCUCCUUCUCCCUCUCUUAAUUUUCAAGCGAUUUCGGUAUGGUAUUGCUGUUAGGUAACCCUACAAACUUUGUUGGAACCUAAAAAAUAGGUACUCCUGAUGGAUUAGAGUGGUUCUGCCUGAAACAACUUCCAAUGGAUUGUUGAAUUAGCCAAUGUCAUAAUUAGUAAAUCUGUGUUGUUAUAUUCUGUAACAAGAUCACAUUAUGCCCAUGUUUAGAUGACACUGACCCAAGUUUACUUUCUGAUUCCCUUAAUUUCUCUACCUAAUUCUUGUGGCGGCAUGCUUUCAUCAGUUUCAAUGCGAUGAAGAUGACAGAUCCAACAUGGUAUCCUUUACGGAUGAACAGGAUUCAAGAUGCAUGUGUGCAAGUGUUGCAUAUACUAUUCAAAGAUCUUCUGUGUCAUUCCAAUAUAUACCAUGCCAUGCUACAGAACGAUCAAACAUAUAUUCUUUAUUGGUUUAUUCCUUAGGUGAUUAAUUUCAGGCCACCCAGGCCACACAAAGAAGGUCCAAAGAUUUUUUGGACAGGAUAAGUGCACUUCAGGCCACCCAGGGUCGAGCAUUCAGCAGCGACGCCAGAGGAGAUACCUUUGUACGAGACUGCUCUCGGUUGAAAAUAUCCAAAGACAAGCGAUGGUUAUAGUCGUCAUGGACUCCGAUGAGAUUCUGGAUGAUGAAGCGAUACCCGAGUGGUUGGAAUUGGCAAUCAUAUGCUUCCAGCGGUAUCACUCGCCAUGAUGAGCUCCACCAUUGGUUCUCACUCUGUGUACUUAUCAAGACUGCUAUGUAACUGUCACCAGCCUUUGUAUAAACGCCUUGCUUUUAGUAUUUUGUGAUGUUCGACUGUCCUGUAAUGUGCUACUUAGUCUUCGGUCCCUUGCUAUAUAACCAGCUUACUCUAAUUACUAAUAAUGGUAUUUUAACUUGUGGGAUGCAUUCAUUUCUAUAUAAAUGACUUGCUGUAAUCCUGAUCUAUCAAAAAAAUUGAUGGUUUUUAUUGAACAA